rnacentral:rRNA from 1 species
UACAGAGGUCUCAAGCGUUGUUCGGAUUCAUUGGGCGUAAAGGGCGCGUAGGCUGCGGGGCAAGUCGGGUGUGAAAUCUCAGAGCUCAACUCUGAAACUGCACUCGAUACUGCUUUGCUUGAGGACUGGAGAGGAGAUUGGAAUUCACGGUGUAGCAGUGAAAUGCGUAGAUAUCGUAAGGAAGACCAGUGGCGAAGGCGGAUCUCUGGACAGUUCCUGACGCUGAGGCGCGAAGGCCAGGGGAGCAAACGGG